UAGGGAAUAUUGGACAAUGGGUGAGAGCCUGAUCCAGCCAUGCCGCGUGCAGGAAGAAGGCGUUAUGCGUUGUAAACUGCUUUUGCCAGGGGAUAAAAAGACCGUGCGCGGUUAAUUGAAGGUACCUGGUGAAUAAGCCACGGCUAACUACGUGCCAGCAGCCGCGGUAAUACGUAGGUGGCAAGCGUUGUCCGGAUUUAUUGGGUUUAAAGGGUGCGUAGGUGGCCCUGUAAGUCAGUGGUGAAAUAUCUCAGCUUAACUGAGAGGGUGCCAUUGGAUACUGCAGGGCUUGAGUACAGAUGAGGUAGGCGGAAUUGACGGUGUAGCGGUGAAAUGCAUAGAUAUCGUCAAGAACACCGAUAGCGAAGGCAGCUUACCAAGCUGUAACUGACACUGAGGCACGAAAGUGUGGGGAUCAAACAGGAUUAGAUACCCAUGUAGUCCCUGAGCGGGCUGGCAAGGCGCAU
rnacentral:rRNA from 1 species